UGGGGAAUCUUAGACAAUGGGCGCAAGCCUGAUCUAGCCAUGCCGCGUGCGCGAUGAAGGCCUUAGGGUUGUAAAGCUCUUUCAGUGGGGAAGAUAAUGACUGUACCCACAGAAGAAGCCCCGGCUAACUCCGUGCCAGCAGCUGCGGUAAUACGGAGGGGGCUAGCGUUGUUCGGAAUCACUGGGCGUAAAGCGCACGUAGGCGGACUGGUAAGUCAGGGGUGAAAUUCCGGGGCUCAACCCCGGAACUGCCUUUGAAACUCCCGGUCUUGAGGUGGAAGGAGGUGAGUGGAAUUCCGAGUGUAGAGGUGAAAUUCGUAGAUAUUCGGGGGAACACCAGUGGCGAAGGCGGCUCACUGGCGCGAUACUGACGCUGAGGUGCGAAAGCGUGGGGAGCAAACA
rnacentral:rRNA from 1 species